UAGGGAAUCUUCGGCAAUGGACGAAAGUCUGACCGAGCAACGCCGCGUGAGUGAAGAAGGUUUUCGGAUCGUAAAACUCUGUUGUUAGAGAAGAACAAGGACGUUAGUAACUGAACGUCCCCUGACGGUAUCUAACCAGAAAGCCACGGCUAACUACGUGCCAGCCGCCGCGGUAAUACGUAGGUGGCAAGCGUUGUCCGGAUUUAUUGGGCGUAAAGCGAGCGCAGGCGGUUUCUUAAGUCUGAUGUGAAAGCCCCCGGCUCAACCGGAGAGGGUCAUUGGAAACUGGGAGACUUGAGUGCAGAAGAGGAGAGUGGAAUUCCAUGUGUAGCGGUGAGAUGCGUAGAUAUAUGGAGGAACACCAGUGGCGAAGGCGGCUCUCUGGUCUGUAACUGACGCUGAGGCUCGAAAGCGGGGGGAGCAAACAGG
rnacentral:rRNA from 1 species